rnacentral:rRNA from 1 species
GCCAAACAGCUAGCUCACCUAAUUUUAACUGACACCAAACAAUUUAUAAGUUUUUCUUAACCCAAAUCUCAUAAUUAAAACAUUUUCCUGCCUUAGUAUGGGCGACAGAAAAGGCACUAGAAGCAAUAGAACAAGUACCGCAAGGGAAAGCUGAAAGAGAAAUGAAAUAACCCAUUUAAGCCCAAAAAAGCAGAGACACGACCUCGUACCUUUUGCAUCAUGAUUUAGCCAGAACUUUUGAGCAAAGAGAAACUAUAGUUCUUAACCCCGAAACCAAAUGAGCUACCCCGAGACAGCCUACACCAGGGCCAACCCGUCUCUGUGGCAAAAGAGUGGGAAGAUCUCCGGGUAGCGGUGAUAGACCUAUCGAAUUUGGUGAUAGCUGGUUGCCUAAGAAAUGAAUAUUAGUUCAGCCUCGCACUCCUCCGCCCAGACACACCACUGCCCUAUGGAACAGAGAAAACUACGAGAGUUAGUCAGAGGGGGUACAGCCCCUCUGAACCAGGACACAACCUGACCCAGGAGGUUAAGAGUCACAUCCAACAAGAUACACCGUCUUAGUGGGCCUAAAAGCAGCCAUCUAAUUCAGAAAGCGUUAAAGCUCAGGCAGAACAAAAAUCUAUUAUUCUGACAUAUAACUCCCAAACCCCUACUACUAUUAGGCCAUUCUAUGCCCCCCCCCCAUAGAAGAGAUACUGCUAAAAUGAGUAACAAGAAGGAAACCCCUUCUCCUUGCCCACGCAUAAAUUGUCGGACCCACCACUAAUAAUUAACGAACCCAGCCCAAAGAGGGAAAAGUGGUUAAACAAUAAAACCAAGAAAACCCCACAUAAAUUAAUCGUUAACCUUACACCGGAGGGCUUCAAGGAAAGAUUAAAAGAAAGGGAAGGAACUCGGCAAACGCAAGCCCCGCCUGUUUACCAAAAACAUCGCCUCCUGCAAAAAUCAAUGUAUAAGAGGUCCUACCUGCCCAGUGACUAAACUUAAACGGCCGCGGUAUUUUGACCGUGCAAAGGUAGCGCAAUCACUUGUCCCUUAAAUAGGGACCCGUAUGAAUGGUGAAACGAGGGCUUAACUGUCUCCCUUUUCUAAUCAGUGAAAUUGAUCUACCCGUGCAGAAGCGGGUAUAGAUAUACAAGACGAGAAGACCCUAUGGAGCUUAAGACAUAAGGUCAACUACGUCAAUAACCCUAAUUAAAAGAACAAAACAAAGUAACAACUGACCAACGUCUUCGGUUGGGGCGACCACGGGGCAAAAAAAAUCCCCCAUGCGGAAUUGGACACACUCCUUGAACCACGAGGCGCACCUCUAAGUCACAGAACUUCUGACCUAAAGAUCCGGUAUUCAACCGAUCAACGAACCAAGUUACCCUAGGGAUAACAGCGCAAUCCCCUCCAAGAGUCCAUAUCGACAAGGGGGUUUACGACCUCGAUGUUGGAUCAGGACAUCCUAAUGGUGCAGCCGCUAUUAAGGGUUCGUUUGUUCAACGAUUAAAGUCCUACGUGAUCUGAGUUCAGACCGGAGCAAUCCAGGUCAGUUUCUAUCUGUAAAGUUACUUCUCCUAGUACGAAAGGACCGGAGAUAUGAGGCCUAUAUCCCAGACAUGCCUUACUUCUACUUAAUGAAAACAACUUAAUUAAAUAAAGAAGGACAUGAAACCACCCAGAGAAACUGGAGU